CCGGCACGGGUGAGUAACACGUAUCCAACCUGCCGUCUACUCUUGGACAGCCUUCUGAAGGAAGAUUAAUACAGGAUGGCAUCAUGAGUUCACAUGUUCACAUGAUUAAAGGUAUUCCGGUAGACGAUGGGGAUGCGUUCCAUUAGAUAGUAGGCGGGGUAACGGCCCACCUAGUCUUCGAUGGAUAGGGGUUCUGAGAGGAAGGUCCCCCACAUUGGAACUGAGACACGGUCCAA
rnacentral:rRNA from 1 species